AUUGAAGAGUUUGAUCAUGGCUCAGAUUGAACGCUGGCGGCAGGCCUAACACAUGCAAGUCGAACGGUAACAGGAAGCAGCUUGCUGCUUCGCUGACGAGUGGCGGACGGGUGAGUAAUGUCUGGGAAACUGCCUGAUGGAGGGGGAUAACUACUGGAAACGGUGGCUAAUACCGCAUAACGUCGCAAGACCAAAGAGGGGGACCUUCGGGCCUCUUGCCAUCAGAUGUGCCCAGAUGGGAUUAGCUAGUUGGUGAGGUAACGGCUCACCAAGGCGACGAUCCCUAGCUGGUCUGAGAGGAUGACCAGCCACACUGGAACUGAGACACGGUCCAGACUCCUACGGGAGGCAGCAGUGGGGAAUAUUGCACAAUGGGCGCAAGCCUGAUGCAGCCAUGCCGCGUGUAUGAAGAAGGCCUUCGGGUUGUAAAGUACUUUCAGCGGGGAGG
rnacentral:rRNA from 1 species